UACCAGUAGAAUCGCCCCGGAGUUACUCUCUCAUGAACAAGAAUCCACUUUUUACCGAAGUCCACCGAGCUAUACAGCUACAACCAAAAGAGAAAUAGACACAUUCACUGUAAGAUCCCUAACUACAGCCAACAAAGCUCACCUCCCUCCCUGAGUGACACACACCAGGAGAGGAAAUCUCAUCAGGGCUUGCAGCCAAAAAGAAAUUAAACAAAGCCUUCCUUCAAGGACUGUCUGCCCUGUGAGACCAGGUCACCUCAAAGACAAUAAAAGCACAGAAGAACCCUAUGAGAUACAGAUCUCAACUAUUCACCCAGAGAAGGCCAAUGCUAUACCUCCACACAAGUAGGUGGUGCUGUCUCAAUGUCUCUAAAAACAAAAACAAAACAAAACAACAACAACAACAACAAAACUAUACACUUUCUAAUGGCUAAAAAAUAAAAAGUAAAUACCAAUAACAUACUCAGAUGAACCAGACUGAUGCAUGAGCCAAGAUAAAUUAUAUUUAUAUUAUACUAUGGUGUUCAGAUGUUCAGUAACACUUUACAAUAAGGUUCCAUUUGUUAACAUUAAUUAACGUGAACUAACAAUGAAAA